rnacentral:rRNA from 1 species
CGGGGCAGCGGCGGACGGGUGAGUAACGCGUGGGAAUGUGCCCUUUGGUACGGAACAACUGAGGGAAACUUCAGCUAAUACCGUAUGUGCCCUUCGGGGGAAAGAUUUAUUGCCAUUGGAGCAGCCCGCGUUGGAUUAGGUAGUUGGUGGGGUAAAGGCCCACCAAGCCGACGAUCCAUAGCUGGUCUGAGAGGAUGAUCAGCCACACUGGGACUGAGACACGGCCCAG